UACGGAGGGGACUAGCGUUGUUCGGAAUUACUGGGCGUAAAGCGCACGUAGGCGGAUCGAUCAGUCAGGGGUGAAAUCCCAGAGCUCAACUCUGGAACUGCCUUUGAUACUGUCGAUCUAGAGUAUGGAAGAGGUGAGUGGAAUUCCGAGUGUAGAGGUGAAAUUCGUAGAUAUUCGGAGGAACACCAGUGGCGAAGGCGGCUCACUGGACCGUUACUGACGCUGAGGCGCGAAAGCGUGGGGAGCAAACAGG
rnacentral:rRNA from 1 species